GACGAACGCUGGCGGCGUGCUUAACACAUGCAAGUCGAACGGUGACCUCGGAGCUUGCUCCGGGGCGAUCAGUGGCGAACGGGUGAGUAACACGUGAGUAACCUGCCCCAGACUCUGGAAUAACCCCGGGAAACCGGAGCUAAUACCGGAUACGAGACGGAGCCGCAUGGCUACCGUCUGGUAAAGUUUUUCGGUCUGGGAUGGACUCGCGGCCUAUCAGCUAGUUGGUGAGGUAACGGCUCACCAAGGCGACGACGGGUAGCCGGCCUGAGAGGGCGACCGGCCACACUGGGACUGAGACACGGCCCAGACUCCUGCGGGAGGCAGCAGUGGGGAAUAUUGCACAAUGGGCGAAAGCCUGAUGCAACGACGCCGCGUGAGGGAUGACGGCCUCGGUUGUAA
rnacentral:rRNA from 1 species